rnacentral:rRNA from 1 species
UACGUAGGGUGCGAGCGUUGUCCGGAAUUAUUGGGCGUAAAGAGCUCGUAGGUGGUUUGUCGCGUUGUUCGUGAAAACUCACAGCUCAACUGUGGGCGUGCGGGCGAUACGGGCAGACUAGAGUACUGCAGGGGAGACUGGAAUUCCUGGUGUAGCGGUGGAAUGCGCAGAUAUCAGGAGGAACACCGGUGGCGAAGGCGGGUCUCUGGGCAGUAACUGACGCUGAGGAGCGAAAGCGUGGGGGAGCGAACAGG